GUUGGUGACCAGCGGAGGGAUCAUUAAAGAGUUGUAAAACUCCCAAAACCAUUGUGAACCUUACCUAUACCGUUGCUUCGGCGGGCGGCAUUACGCCCUAACCUGCUCUUUAUCAGGGGAGCAGACCCGCCGGAAGCACCUAAAACUCUUGAUUUUAGUUGGCCUCUCUGAGUUAACUUUUAAAUAAGUCAAAACUUUCAACAACGGAUCUCUUGGUUCUGGCAUCGAUGAAGAACGCAGCGAAAUGCGAUAAGUAAUGUGAAUUGCAGAAUUCAGUGAAUCAUCGAAUCUUUGAACGCACAUUGCGCCCGCUAGUAUUCUGGCGGGCAUGCCUGUUCGAGCGUCAUUUCAACCAUCAAGCCUUAGGCUUGUGUUAGGGCCCUGCGGCUGCCCGCAGCCCCCGAAAUGCAGUGGCGGGCUCGCUGUCAUACCGAGCGCAGUAGCAUAACUCUCGCUCUGGGCGUGGCGGCGGGCACUGGCCGUGAAACCCCCCAUUUCUCAAGGUUGACCUCGGAUCAGGUAGGAAUACCCGCUGAACUUAAGCAUAUC
rnacentral:rRNA from 1 species